AUGGAAAUAGCCUGACGAACUAUAUUCCUAUAUCUCUCUAGUGUCAUGGGACAGGGGCCUCUCUCUCUCUCAAGCAAAAACCCCUUAUCUCUCGCUCUUCUGCUGCCCCCUCUCUCUCAUAUCUGGUUCAGGCCUGUGCCUUUUCGCCCGCCCUGCUUCUCUCUCUCUCUCUCUUUCGAAUUUGUGCCCCCUGCCCUCUCUCUCUUGUUUGUGCCCUACCCCCUCUCUUUCUCUUUGUGCCCUCUGCAGCCUGGUCGAGAAAAAGAUCUAAUAUGCACUUGACAAACUUUACAAGUGGCUCCUUAUGAACGUCCAACACUUAGCAAGAGCUAUCUUUUUCCUGAAGGUAUUUUUGCUUUACCUUUAUCAGAGGACUCAGGUGGUGUAUUACCAAUAGGUGAAGGAGGGAUAUUUAUUGUUGGAGAAGGGAUUCCCUUGAUAUCUAGUUGGGAUAAUUUUGAUAGCAAUUGAUCCAUAAGAGAUUUAUUAUUAUCUCCAAUAUGAAAUUUAUUCUUAUUCAAUUCUGGAGGUGGUUUGAACAAAACUGAUUUAGGUAUUUGUGUAGCAGAAGAUUGUUCUUUAGUGACAAGUCUUUCUAUCCUUUCUGCUUACUUUCCUAACGAUUGCAUAUACAGAUUGGUAUAAUUAUUUUGUUUUACAAUAUGAGGUAUUAACUCUUGUUUCUUACCAAGUUCUUUAGGUACGAUUUUAUAUGGAGUAGCAAUUAUAUCAUAUAAGGAUGGAGGUUGAGUAGGCUCAUCCUUAACUGGGACUUUUGUUUUAAGUAUAAUACUUUUUUCAGGUGGAUGUGUACUAGCAGUGGUAGUACCAUCAGUGCUUAUAUAGGUUUUUACUUUUAUUGUCUGAAUUUCAUCAAAUGAAGAAGGGAUAUGAAGUUUAUGUUGAUAAUUACUUAUUAACCAUAAAAAAUAACCUUCUGUUUCCCUUUCCUUUUUAAGGAAUUGAUUAUAUUUAGCCUGUAAUUUUUCUCUUAACUGUAAUGGUACAUUUGUAAGAUACCAUUUUCUGAUAUGUCUAUUUUCAUGUGACAUAAAGUCUUGCUUAAUAUAAUUGUGAUCAAUUUUUUUCUUUUUUCUUUCUAAUUUAGCGGCUAAAUAUGCUACUAUAUAUUCAUCUGAAUAUUUAUCAUGAGGAUUGUCAUAUUCUUCUACUUGUAAGGUUAAUAUUUGAAAGUCUUGUAAUUCUUCUAUACUAGGUUCAGUAGUAUUUGUAGUACUAG